CGAGUAUUUACUUCCUGAAGAGCACUUCCGGAAUCCUUUGUUUACAAAAUUACACGACAAUUUGUCAAGUGUAUCUUCCGUGAAAUAUGUCCUUCCUAAGGUUACAAGCUAAAGUGUGAUAAGUGUGGUCAUCGGACACACCUGAAAUACUGCUGUGCUGUGAAGUUUUUAAGGAGUCAUGAUGAGUUCUUUAAGUCACCACUGAAAGUGAUAAUUCUGGUUUAUCUGUGAUUUUGACAAAAAUGUGACAAAGUGCUGUUUGUGAUAUUAUUCAUUUAUGUUAUUCAUGUUAUAUGUUAUAAUAUACUGUUCUUCUCCACAGCAGAUUAAAAAAUCCAGUAGCCAGAACUUUC
rnacentral:lncRNA from 1 species